rnacentral:ncRNA from 2 species
CUGAAAUAAGUGGAAAUAGGUGCUCUUGCGGUAUAGCUUGAGCUUAAAAGGGAAGUCCGGUGUAAAACCGACGCGGUCCCGCCACUGUAACAGAGGAGUCUAAGCGCUAACGCCACUGAUCUUUAAAGGUUGGGAAGGCAAGCUUACGAUGAUGAUUCUGGAGCCAGGAGACCUGCCUAUUUGAACGACACUGA